UUCCAGUACCCGACUGGACUGAAAGGAAGUGCUCACUGAGAGAGCGCUUCCUGUCAGUCCGGCCGGGAACAGGAA